rnacentral:rRNA from 1 species
AGCUCCAAUCGCGUAUAUUAAAGUUGUUGCGGUUAAAAAGCUCGUAGUUGGAUUUCUGUCGAGGACGGUCGGUCCACACUUUGUGUGAGUAUCUGAUUCGGCCUUGGCAUCCUCCUGGGGAACGUUUCUGCGCUUGAUUGCGUGGAGCGGAAUUCAGGACUUUUACUUUGAGGAAAUUAGAGUGUUCACGGCAGGCAAACGCCUUGAAUAUAUUAGCAUGGAAUAAUAAUAUAGGACCUUUGUUCUAUUUUGUUGGUUUCUAGAGCGAAGGUAAUGAUUAAUAGGGAUAAUUGGGGGCAUUUGUAUUAACGCGUCAGAGGUGGAAUUCUUGGAUUGCGUUACGACAAACUACUGCGAAAGCAUUUGCCAAGGAUGUUU